rnacentral:rRNA from 1 species
GACGAACGCUGGCGGCACGCCUAACACAUGCAAGUCGAACGGUGAAGAGGUGCUUGCACCUCGGAUCAGUGGCGGACGGGUGAGUAACACGUGAGCAACCUGCCUUUCAGAGGGGGACAACAGUUGGAAACGACUGCUAAUACCGCAUAAUGUCAUCGGGUGGCAUCAUCUGAUGAUCAAAGGAGCAAUCCGCUGAAAGAUGGGCUCGCGUCUGAUUAGAUAGUUGGUGAGGUAACGGCUCACCAAGUCGACGAUCAGUAGCCGGACUGAGAGGUUGAACGGCCACAUUGGGACUGAGACACGGCCCAG